rfam:Tamlana nanhaiensis strain FHC16 contig8, whole genome shotgun sequence.
AUAACAGAGGAAAGAUUUGACUGAUUGCAACCUCUAUUCUAUUUGAACUUUUCAGAAAAAACAAAAUGAUACUGAAACAAGUUCUACACGAAUAAAAAAAUGCUAAAGGCAGUGUU